CCGCCGCCAGCCCGGGCGUGAGGGCCAGGGCCUGGUGGGCCUCGUCGGCGACCACCACGGUGCGGGUGCGGGCCAGCGCGGCGGCC
rnacentral:tRNA from 1 species